rnacentral:rRNA from 1 species
UACGUAGGGCGCAAGCGUUGUCCGGAAUUAUUGGGCGUAAAGAGCUCGUAGGCGGCUUGUCACGUCGGGGUGUGAAAGCCCGGGGCUUAACCCCGGGUCUGCAUUCGAUACGGGCUAGCUAGAGUGUGGUAGGGGAGAUCGAAUUCCUGGUGUAGCGGUGAAAUGCGCAGAUAUCAGGAGGAACACCGGUGGCGAAGGCGGAUCUCUGGGCCAUUACUGACGCUGAGGAGCGAAAGCGUGGGGAGCGAACAGG